GCAUGGGUGAAUUCUGCAUUGGCUUUUACAGUAGCUAAUGGAGUCAGACACCAUGCAAGAAUAAAGUUUGCCUCGGAUUCGUUUAAUGACAUGCUGUGCUAAAACAGUGUGCACGGGUCUGAAAAGGAUACACCG